rnacentral:lncRNA from 1 species
ACUCUUGACAUAGUCUCGGUGCCAUGGCAAGUCUUUUUACCUCUAACUCUCUAAUAAGACUAUAAGUUGCUAAAUUCGUGUAACUCCUGCAUUGGUGAAGAAAGUAUCUGCUGUGGGAAUUCUCUAUACUUGAGGAAAGCACAGAUGUAAUCGAAAAGAAAAAAAAAAGGUGAGAAAACUGAAGUUUGGAAAAGGCUUACUCAAAUUUACCCAGGGCCUCAGUAACAGAAGUGGGACUUGCACCUUUUGAAUUAAAUCAAUGGUAGACCUUAGGAAGGAUCUGGUCUGACAUGUAUACUUAGGACUCUUUUUAAAGAGAGGACUUAGGAGGCAGUAGUUGUUUGUCCACCAUGGAAUUACCAUAUGGAUUCACAGCCAUCUCUCAAUUAUCCAUGGCCACAAAAGGGGAAUAUUGAUGUGGGUAAUCAGAAACUGCAAGUAAUCUGAAUGAACAAGGCUAAUUCACAUGGAAACUGGCCUCAAGGGAGCUUCAUGCCCAGCUGUAUGUGGUAGAGUGCCUGGAUGCUCAGCUGGGUGAUUGAUCAGGUUUGACGGGAUUGAACAGGUUGUGUUUGUAAACAUCGAAUCCACUGGCUUUUGGUUUUCAUUUUUUGACUCAUUUCAAAAAGUCAUAUCAGGGAAAUAUGUGAAAAAAGAAGGAAAAUCUUGAAGAGAUAAAAA